AUUGAACGCUGGCGGCAGGCUUAACACAUGCAAGUCGAGCGGGGGAAGGUAGCUUGCUACCGGACCUAGCGGCGGACGGGUGAGUAAUGCUUAGGAAUCUGCCUAUUAGUGGGGGACAACAUCUCGAAAGGGAUGCUAAUACCGCAUACGUCCUACGGGAGAAAGCAGGGGAUCUUCGGACCUUGCGCCAAUAGAUGAGCAGAAGUCAGUGUAGCUAGUUGGUGGGGGAAAGGCCUACCAAGGCGACGAUCUGUAGCGGGUCGGAGAGGAUGAGCCGCCACACUGGGACUGAGACACGGCCCAGACUCCUACGGGAGGCAGCAGUGGGGAAUAUUGGACAAUGGGGGGAACCCUGAUCCAGCCAUGCCGCGUGUGUGAAGAAGGCCUUAUGGUUGUAAAGCACUUUAAGCGAGGAGGAGGCUACUUUAGUUAAUACCUAGAGAUAGUGGACGUUACUCGCAGAAUAAGCACCGGCUAACUCUGUGCCAGCAGCCGCCGUAA
rnacentral:rRNA from 1 species